ACCCCAUUCAGGCUGCUAUUGUGUUUAUCUUAUUCGUGGGGGGAAUAGAUUGGCGAUGGAUGUUUCGCUGGUAGCAUUUCUUCUCUCUUUAGGGGGAGGUGUUUAAUAGCAGCAUUCCAGCCAUUA